rnacentral:rRNA from 1 species
AUUGAACGCUGGCGGCAGGCCUAACACAUGCAAGUCGCACGAGUGGCGGACGGGUGAGUAAUGUCUGGGAAACUGCCCGAUGGAGGGGGAUACCUACUGGAAACGGUAGCUAAUACCGCAUCCCAUCGGAUGUGCCAAGAUGGGAUUAGCUUGUAGGUGAGGUAACGGCUCACCUAGGCGACGAUCCCUAGCUGGUCUGAGAGGAUGACCAGACACCCUGGAACGUAGCCACGUUCCAGACGCCUAUGGGAGGCAGCAGUGGGGAAUAUUGCACAAUGGGCGCAAGCCUGCUGCAGCCAUGACGCGUGUAUGAAGAAGGCCUUCGGGUUGUAAAGUACUUGCAGCGGGGAGGCGUUACCCGCAGAAGCAGCACCGGCUAACUCCGUGCCAGCAGCCGCGGUAAUAC